GCUCACGCCAUUAAACACCACAAUCCACAAUCCACUUCACAUCAACUCUUCCUCUUUUCAAGUGCUUUUACUCUAAAACCCAAAACCUCGUAAACAAACAAAACCCCACCAUGGCGGUCGGACUAUUGGCCGCCAUAGUCCCGAAGCCCUUCUGUCUCCUCACAACAAAACUUCAACCCUCUUCGCUCCUCACAACAAAACCCGCUCCCCUUUUUGCCCCUCUCGGUACCCGCCACGGCUUCUUUAAUGGCAAAAACCGAAGAAAAAUCAACUCUUUCACCGUAUGUUUUGUUUUAGAGGAGAAAAAACAAAGCACCCAGAUCGAGACUUUCACGGAGGAGGAGGAGGAGGAGUCGGGUAC
rnacentral:lncRNA from 1 species